UUUUUUUUUUUGUAGAAAAAGCAGACAUAUAACAAUGCUUUGUUUCACACCAAAGCAUUUAGAAACCUGCCCAACAUGACAACAGCAUUCAGCGUGUUAAAAUAAUCUCCUUCUAUUCAGUAAAUUGUCAUAGAUCUUAUUACCUACUGCAUCAGGUCACAUCAGGAUGUGCUGCCUGACAUGAUGUGGCACAGCGUGACAGCAACAGACACAGCAUUGCCUCCUCCCAGCACAGAGAUGUUCAUACAUUGGAUGCUCAGGCAACAACUGGUGUGGCUAUUCAAUCCUCUCUGUUGCCUGCAGUUAGGCAAAUGACCAAAUUCUCUGAAGAACCUGCAUUUAAUAGCAAAUUGUUAUUUUUGUGCUGGCUUGAGGACAGAGUUUUCUUACAGGGCACCUCUACUGCCAUUGCAUCGGAAAGUCACGCUGGGCUGUUGAGGGCUGAUGCACAGCUGAGCGCUUCAGACACAGCCCAGCAGUGAGUGUGGGAGGCAUUCACACACUGCAGGGUGCGCAAGGCCAUUCCCACUGAUUUAGGCAGUUAUAGUUCUCUACAAAAAUAUUAACAUGGCAGGUAUAAAACCAAAAGCUUCAUGGCCUGUCCACAGAUAUUGAGAGAUUUGCACUAACUUCUUAAACCAUGAUGUUAAACCAUUGCAGAAAAUAAAUUUUCUGAAAACUGGGCUAAGAGGGCACCUUUCAAAAAUAAAAAGCUUGGGAAACUCAUUGAGAUAAUGAGCUGUAGGUGAUUAACCCAAUCACUGUUGAGGUCACCAGCAGUAUUAGAGCCAUAAUCCCAUUGAUUUAGAUUAUUGUAUAGUUUUGUAUUUCAGUAACUUCUAGGUUGUAUGUUUUAUGUUAUGUCUUACUCUUGCUUGAUUGUGUGUAAGACCUCACCAGAAAUCAAGGGUGAAUAUUGCUCAAACAAAGAAGAUUGUACCUGCUCUUAUCACAUGAAGUUAUUUCCAGACUGUAAAAUUUCAGACUCUGUAAAGUUUCAGACUGUAACAUUUCUGGAAACUCUGGAGAAAUUGUGGUGAGAUUGGAAAAUAUAAAAAAAAGGGGAUCUCCUGCUGUCCUCAGGCCCUGUGUAUUUGCCUCUCCAGGCAGCGUGCGUGACUCGCUGUGCAGCUCCCUGCUGCCAGCCCUUGUUUUGUGCUCUGGAGGUCAUGAAAGGAAGUUCGUAUUUUUCUAAUCACGACCACUAGGUUCAGAGCAGGGGAAGGACAAAGAAGGGGAACCAUGGGAGCUAAUGUUAGGCUGCUGCAAUGGCUCUGAUGACUAUUUUACAUUGAAGAAUGAAUUGAGGUUUCAUAGUUGGAAGCUGGAAGAGGGUUGUGGCAGAAUUGCUCUGAAAGCCUGAGGAGACCUAGUGACUGAAUGCACAUGUAAAGCAGAGUAAAGAUGCAGUCUCCAUGGCAGCAUCUCAGAACUGUACAGUAAUAUUUUGAAAUGUAAUAUAGAUUCUAAUUUUUCAGUCUUAACCCAUCAAAUCAGUUUUACUAUAAAUACCCACGCUAUCCAGUCUCCAAAAGAACUAAGGCUGACAGUUAUUUUAAGCCUGCCCAACCAAAGACAAAAAUGCAAUUUACAUUCCCUGCCAAAAUACACUCCUUCAGUUAGGAGAACAGAAGGACUUUGGUUUUAGACAGGCAAAAUCAAGGAAAUAUAGAGAUUACAAUAUAUGAUCUCUACUUCCUCAUACAUCUAGAUUAUGGCAACCUUCAAUUGCCAAUAUCUGAAAACACUGAAACUCUGUGGGCACGUAGAUAGGAAAGCUUCUUACCAUGACUAGCUACACUACCAAUCAACUCAGGGCACAAAAGGGCUGCUGAAUCUGUCUGAAGCCACCAGUGUAUAACUCAUGAGUGCAUCUGAUACACACCAUGGUGUAUAACUCAGAGCACAUCUGAAAAAGCAGUGGCUGCUAUUUGCAGACAAAAACUACAGGCUUAAACAGACACCAAGCACUUUGCUGAUCCCACUAGUGUCUCAGUAUGUGCCUUUAUGUCUGAGGAAGCAGAUGCUGCUCCCAGGUAACUGGGAGCAUGUGAGAACACCCAAGGGAGCAAUUGAAUGUCCUCAGUGAUGGUUGUCUGGGCUCCAUAAUAACAGCUGGAUUCCAUUCAGCAUAACAGCUUGAUUGAGAAAAUAUGCUCUAAUAAAUACUAGUUGUGAUCUAUGUUUCCACCUGACUUCAUCCUCUUUUGAGGAAAUUCACAAUGAUCUUAUGAGAGCUGCUGAGAAGUUGUCAAAGUUGUUGAUUAUCAAAGAAUAGCAAGGAUGGGGAUGGUUAAUUAAGUUGUAUUGAACAGUGUGGGACCUGAGUAGGAUGUGAAUGGUAUGGAAUAAGGGGCACAAUGUGCAGGCUGGGGUAGAGUUAAUUUUCUUCACAGUAGCAAAUAUGAAGCCGUGUUUUUGAUUUGGCUGAACACAUGCUAAUACUACAGAGAUGUUUUGGGCAGGGUUUACACAGAGUCAAGGUUUUUCUGCUUUCCUGCUGCAAUGCUGGCAAGGAAGUUGGGGGUGCAUGGGAGGCUGGGAGGAGAUGCAGCUGGGACAGGUGACCCAAACUGACCAAAGGGAUAUUCCAGACCAUAUGGCAUCAUGCUCAGAAUAUAAAGUGACGGGAAGAAGGAGGGUGGUGGGGGACAUUUGGAGUGAUGGUGUUUGUCUUCCCAAGUCACCAUUACAUGUGAUAGGGCCUUGCUUUCCUGGAGAUGGCUGAACACCUGCCUGCCCAUGGGAAGCACUGAACAAAUUCCUUGUUGUACUUUGCUUGUGUGUGUGGCUUCUGCUUUCCCCACUAAACUGUCUUUAUUGCAACCCAUGAGUUUUCCAGCUUUUAUCCUUCUAAUUCUCUUCCCAGUCCUGUGGGUGUGGUAAUGAGUGAGUGUCUCUGUGGGGCUCGGUUGGCAGCUGGGGUGAAACCACGGCAAAAAUUAUAAUUGGAAAACAUGCCCUAAUUCAUCACUGUGCAAAUGUAGUUAUUAUGUAAAGAGCUAUAACUCAUUUUGAAGGUACUUGCAUUUGUGGUAUAGCUCCAUAUAUACAUGCUACUGGUCUGAAAUAUUUUCUUGAUCAUCCCAGACUAGAUUUUCUAAUACCACUCCCAUUUUCCACCUCCUGUGCAGAGCACUUGGCUAUCUUAACUCUGGACCGCUCUUACAGACUGGCUGCUUUGAACACCAGAUAUGAAAGGGUUUGGACAGACAUAAAGUAGUAAUGUUCUAUAAACAUCAUAAACCCACUCUUAUGCUCUGAUGGAAAACACUGGGCUACAAUCUGCAAGUCAGGCAUCACAGCUCAGACCCAUGCUAGAAUUAUUAAUUUAAAAAAAUUAAGAUACUUGUGGUCUUGGCAAGUUACAUAUAUUGCCAUCUGUAGUAGCAGUUACAUAAGUGGUGCCAGGAUUUCUUUAGGAAUUCAGAGCAUUUUAUUCUUUCCCAUAUCCAGAGAAACACUAAGAUGUUGCUAGCAGGUUUGUUGCUAAUUACACUUACAACUAAAGAAGAAGGAAAUAAACAAGUAUAAGAUGAGAUAAUUACAAGGAAUGUUAGAUAAAUAAGAGAAUAAUCAAUAAACAAGCUGUUCUAACAACUGUCUCUGUGGAAACUGGAAAUUCUGAUUCUCAAACAGAGAUACCAACUCAGUGAUGCAGGUGUUGUGCCAGCUUGCAAAUAACUGAGAAAGAAGGGUUUGGCAGAUACUUGCCUUUGUGAGGUACUGGGAUUCAACCCAUCUAGAAUCAAGCUGCAGCCACCUCUAGAUAAAACAUGGCAUCUGGAUAAAAAAGAGCAGAAAAUUGCACAGCUGUUUCAAGUCAGCGUGGAAAUCAUUGCCCAAAUUCAAGGACCCAGUGUUGGCCAUGAUGCUUUAGAGGAUGUUCCUUGGCCUCCCAGAGGUCCCAAGUUCUAUCUGCUGGCCCUGGGCAGGUGCUCCAGCCCACUGGCACCAUGUCCCAGGCCCCAGGUAAGGAGGCAGGAGGGGUGAAAUGCAAGUGCAUGGUGAAAAGUGAAGGGCAGCCUGAUCAUAUGGGGGGCACUGACUGGGAUGUGGGAGCAGCACAGAUAACCAGAAGCACCAGCUGAUAGCUUUCACCUGGGGAGAAAGAAGAGGAGGAGGAAGAAAGCUCAUGGUACUGCAUUUAAACGUGAGCCAAAUGCUCACCCACGGUCAUUUUCAAGCAGAAAAUUUAGAUGUGGUCUUCAGUCUUUUCUAUUUGUACCACAGAUGGUGAAUAUAUUACACAGCUUGUCCUAUUUUUCAGCUGUGCCUGUAAGUUUUCUGCACAUAUUCCUGCCUUUGCAGAGGCUCCUGGUGCAGGUGUUAAUUCUCCCCAAAACCUGAGCUGAUUGGGAGCUACACUCUUAAAAAAGGGCAAAGUGAGGAAAAGGGAGAAAAAAGGAAAAAGUGAGGCAUAUUGGAAAGUGGGAAGGUCACAAUUUCAAAAACAACUUUACGUCCCUCCUGCUUCAUAAUAAGCCCUAUUUUUAAAUUCUUCUUUCUCUACAAGGGUUGAUUCUACCUUGUUAUUUGUACAGCUUCUAGUAUCAUUAAGUACAAAUGUGGAACCCUUGGCAUUACCAUUGUAUAAAUUCUUCAAAAAAUGUUCUUAAUUAAAGACAAAAAAUAUUUUUUUCUCUCUGUUUAUAUCUUAAGAUCAUGUCUCUGACAUGUUUUAUAAUUAAAAUAUAUAAAGCAGAAACAACAAUUAAUUAGAAAAAAUUACAGGUUUAUGUCUUUCUGUAUAAAACAUUAAAAACUGUGCAACAAGCAAAGAUGUUUCAUAGUUUGAGAAAUUAUAUUUUAUUUCUUAAUCUUCAGGUCAAUCUGAAGCAUUAAUAUGCUCAGUCAGAAAAGUAGUCAACCAAAGAAAACCUUAGCUCCCACUUUAACAUUACAACCUAAAAAAGAGUAUGUUGAUUUAAAAUAAGCAGGCACACCCUAGAGGCAAGUAUGAAAUGCCACAGUUUCAUAUGGGAUUGAAUUUAAUAUGAUAAUGUCAUGUGAAAUACAAUGCAGAAAAUAUCAUUAAUAAUAAUAAUAAUUUUUUAAAACCCUUUUCUAAAAAUGCUGCCCGUUUUGUGUUUAUAUUUAUUUUAGGAAGGGAUUUAUUGUUCACAAAAGGAAAGCAGAGAAAAUUUAUUGCAGGUUUUAGUUGUGGAAAGCAUAGUGGAGAAUUUAAGGGAGACAAAUAUAUGCUUUUUUGUUGGCGGGGGCUUUUCUAAUGUGUGAAAUAUGAGCUUUGGAGAAUUGUUUAUUUUAGGACAAGUCAAGGACUGAAUCACAGGGAGACACUUUUUGUUGUGUUUUAUUCACUUCUCUCUGGAGAGCUGUCGGGGCUGGCAGGGCUCCUGCCCUGUGGCUGCUGCUGCCCUCGCUGCCGGCUGGCUCCAGCCCCACAGCGCCAGGCACCAUCGCUGUGCCACUGCCCAGCCCUGCCACUGGGCCCUCUGCUUCAUUCAUGGGGCUCAAAUGGCUCUUUUCCAGACACCAGCUGCUCCAGGCAGCUCCUCUGGGCCCCUCCAGGGACACUGGGGAUGGUGUCAGGCGCUUCCCUGUGCGUGUCCCUCUGCCCUCCUGCAAAGAGAGGAGAUGUUCCAGCCCUCUCCCUCCUGCAGCCUCCCUCUGCCCUUCUCACAAACCUCUGAUACCCCACGUGUGCCCAUCUCUGCCGCCGUGUAGCUACAGCCAAGCUCCCUUUCUGGCCACAAGAAAUUCCUCUUGCUUCCAGAUCCAUCCAGGCUUUCCUGGUGAAAUCAGUCAGUGCCCAUUGACCACAAGUUUCCUACAGACCCAGUGUGCCUGGCUCAGGCGGGUUUUGAAUUUUUGGCUUGUAUAUUCCUGCUCUGGGCUUUGGGCUCUGGGAACAGCCCAGGGAGAAUUGGCUUUGUUUGGAAUUCCAUGUCUCUGGUAGAGAUGCAGCAUUCUAGCGUUAAUUUGUUCUGCAUGAAUUUGCACAGGAGGCAAACACAGAGGUCAGAUUCUGCCACACUGAAUCAUGAGGGCCUCUUAGUUCUGCCUGCCUGCCUGCCUGCUGAUCAAGGUUAAUAAGAGCUGGCAAGCUCCAGAGGCCCAGUUACACUGCUUUAAAAUCUUUCAAAGGCAACAUGGAAUAUCAUGAGUAAAAUCGACUGUGUUGGUCUCACUGGAGCUACAUUUGCUUGCCUCAGUUGUGAGUUUAUCUAUUAAUAAACAGAUAAACUUGUUGCUGAAAUAAAUCAGCUUUUGUAGGUCAACACUGAUUUAGGCUGAAACUGCAUUUAAAGAGGGAUCAGAAGCAUUUGACUAACAGACUGCUGACUUGAGUUGCACUUUCUAUAUUGCACCUUCAAAAUCUGCAGUGCAAAGAAAGUUUUAGAAUUGAAUCAAACCUCAUUCUGCUGUAGCUGACACCAGACACCCUCGUGACAUGAGGUCUUCAGAGACCAGUCUUUCCUUCACAAUAGAGAAGUUGCAAAAAAUCUGUCAUUAAACAGAAUUCCGGCUCCAUCAAAUAAGUUUACACAGCAACUUCAGUGAUUCAGUAUCGUUCAAAAACACAGCCCUGUGCUUCACACCUGAGCUGAGCUCCUCGAGUCUGCAUUGCUGAGCUGCAGCCCAGCGACCCAGCCCAUAUUCUCACAAUGACAGCAAUGAAUUCAAGUUCAAGAGCCCCAUAUCCAUUGCCUGUGUCCUGCACCCCCAGAAGUCACAAGCCUCUAGGCUCUUGCUACUGAGGUUUUUGAUGUUUGGCUACUGCCCAUGCCUAAAAUAACUUCCUUGGUACAUGGCUGUACAUCUCCAUGCUUAUCUCACUUCUUCACUUGGAUUAGAAAUCAGAAUCUCUUCAGUUUAAUCCCCAUGAACAUCCACUGCCUGGCAGAGCUAGUACAGAUUCAUGCUGCCCUGAGGGCAGAAUAAAAUUUAGGUUGAUUAAAUUUCAAACCAGUAGCAGUUUUGCUGAGUGAAGAAUGGGGAGGAAUCAUCCACAUUUUCUAGAGAUUGUAACAACAAUUUUAGUAUUGUCUGCUUUAAAAGAAAACUCCACUGCCUGUUCUGAAAAGGAUGGCUCAGAUGUUUAGGUCCAAAGUGGGUGCUUAGCUUUGAAUGCCAGGUUUGCAUUGAAAUACCUUUCAGGGGUGAAAAUUAGAUUUCUGUCACCCCUUCUCAACAUUUCUGCCUUGGAGGAUUCUCCUCCUCAACUUACUGUCUAGCAGGAAUCCUGCUGGGAGGUGUUUCAGAGUCCCACUGCACCUCAGCAGAACCAGUCUAGUAAAGCCAGCCAGGUCUUGCAUCCAGAGGAUGGGGAAGAUAGCAACAAAAAUACCAUGUGGAAAUCCCCAACAGAGUACCUAAGGGCCAGCAGCCUUCAUCCUGACACCAAGGCAGGGCAAGAGGAUAAUUCUCUGGGCUUCAUGAGGCUGCAAGGUGUAUUUUGACCUGCUGGGCAGAAAUAGCAGCACCAAGUGGUUGCACAGCAAUGAUGCUCUGGGGGAGGGGAUUCAUGCUGCUGGGUCAGCUGCUCACCACUGACCUGCCCUCCCAGGCAGUGGGCUGCCUGUUGGCUCUCAGAUACUGAUCUAAAAGAAGGCACAUGAACCCCAAACUAUUUCAGGUUGCAGCAUUCAGAGGCGCUGCCAUCACAGCAGAGGCUCUGCAGCAAUGUCAGGUUACAGAGAGUCUGUGUGGGAGGGAGCAGGGUGCUGCUUUGCACUCAAUGUUAAUGCUUCUGCUUAGGCAUAAUCCAGCUGAAGGUCUUUUCAGUACAGCAGAGUUCACUGGAGGUCUAGCUGAGUGUGCUGGUUCAGAGGGCACUAAUGCAAUUGUGCGAUUAAUUUACGUCUGCGCUGUUGUUGCUGCGCAGGCUGCGGUCAGUGGAGAGGGGCAGCAGGCACAGCCACUGCUCCAGUGCUCCCUGUGCUCUCACCGGGAUGACUGCUGGCCUCUGAGUCACUGCCCAAGGGUAAAUAGUGAAUACUAUGAUGACACUCACGUUUGAAAGACAGUGAUGUGGAACAAACAAGGUAAUUUUUUAAUAAAUAUUUAUUUCAAGGAAACAUAUUUGGCUUAAUCCUUUUUCCACUGAUGUUGAUAAAAGUUAUGCAUUGACAAAAGGCACCGCAGCAUUUGUAAUGUAUUUUGACAUUACGAAUGUCAAUGAAAGGUUCUAAAUAAUAGCUAAGGAUUAUGUAUUCCUCAGUGGGAACAUGAGUUAGCCUGCUGGAUAAAUUAAUAAACACAUUGUUAUGUAAGUAUGGCAAAGUGCUUCUGAUGCUUCAUGAUUAAACUUGACAUGCUGACAAAAGGAAGCUGAGGAUUUGGUUCAUUUUACUUUAUUUUAUUUUACAUUUUUUAAAAUUUUGGAUUUUCAAAAAUUUGAUACUUGUAAGGCUUGCUUGGAAAACCUUCAAGUAAUUUCAGUUAAAAGGCAUGAAAUUUCCAAAUGGACAGAACUAUAUUCAGCUCUGUUUCACAGGCAGAGAAAUUGAGGCAUGCAGGAUAUCACUGAGACUUCAAUGUCAUGGGAUCUGUGAACUACAGGCUGCACCCUGGUCAUUACAAGGAGAGGGGGAUGCCUUCCCAAAUGCAUCUUGUCUUCAUCUCGCCAUUACAGUCAGUGGCAUCAAGCAUGAAGAGAGUGUCUGGCACAGCUGGAGAUGCCUCCUGAGGUCACAGCCUGUGGGUUGCUGCAGACAGCCGAGGCCCAGCUGCCCGGUUUUGCCUUAGCAUUUAAACAGGUUGCUACUCAGGAGCCAGGUGUGAAAGGCUCUACCCCUUGACUAAUACAGCAUGGUGCUUCCUGAGCUGUGGAAGAAGUGCCUGUUAUGGAUAAAGGCAAGGAAGAGCAUAGAAACAGCGAAAGGUGGUUGCAAUCCUUUUGGGGGACAUGUCAGAAGCAGAAGCAGCAAGUCCGUAUGUCCAGCCUGGAGAUUUAAUGACAGAAAUGAUGCCUUCCCUGAGUCUAGAUGAAGAAAUAUCCCUCCCCAGUCAAAAACUACAUAGAACACUGUCCAUUGCUUUGUUCUACUAGUAAACAGAUAAAAAAAUACUUUCCAACCACUUCCAGUGCAACCUUCAGUGCUUGUGGCAGUGGUUUGCUUUUCCUAUUUCCAGCACUGCAGUUGUGCUCUAAACAACUUACAAGCUUCAAAGCCUUGCUUAGAGCAUAUUUUCAAAAGCAUUAUCCUUUCACACAAUAUAUUUGUAACACAAUCAUUUUCAUAACAACUCCUGUCACAUUAUUGUAUCAAUCUCACUAAGUGAUUCCUUUGAACAGCUUCUCACACCAAUUUGAGUAAUCUCAUGAAGUUUGACUGUGCUCCUUUAUCCUCCUCUCCUUGUUCAUUUUUCCUGUUUAACCAGAGCACUUAUAGGGAGGCUGAAGCCCAGGUAAGGUGUCUUUCUUCUUCAAAGUCUUUGAAAGAGGAUAGUGAGAUACCCUUUCUGCAAACAGCAGUUUGAAUAUGUGUCUCCCAGUAACAGAAACCUCUUUUAGUUUCUUCUUUCUUGGACUCUGGCAGUGCGUCCCUUAAAAGCUGCAGCUUCUUAGCUAUUGUGAGUGCUGCCAAACAAAAGUCAUGGAGAUACAAACACCCCUAGUGAGGGCAUCUUCUUGAGGAAGGUUAAACCAAGAAAUGGCACCCAUACUUCUCCUCACGUGGAUUCAAAGCCCAGGUGGCCACCAGUCUCUCCUGUGCUUGUGCCAGGAACAGUGAGCCAUAGGUCCCUCAAACCCAGUGGGAUCUUGGUGUUCCCCAGGGUCUGCCGCUUGCCAUCAAUGAGAGAACAAGCUCAGAUUUCAUUUGAAAUCAAAUCUACAGGAUGUUUCUUGCUGUUACAGAAGACAGAAAUCUCCAGAUUACCCAGAAUAUCACAGAUCCAAACAGCUUUCUAUUUACAGUUGCUUGAUUUUGGAGGCGAGGCUGACUCAGGACUUUGUGUGCUUGACUUGGCAAAGCCCACCAGUUUGCACCAACCUCAGCCUCCGAAUAUUUGCCUGCUUCACUUCAGACAUGUAUCCCUGCAAUGCAGAUUAUAGAGAGGACACACUGUCAUUUCUUUUCUCUUGGAAAAAUAUUUUCCUUUUGUGUAGUUGAAUGGUAUCUAAAUAAACAUUAGUUGUAUUUUUGUGUCA